rnacentral:tRNA from 3 species
UGCAGCGUCACCUAACGGUAAGGUACUCGGCUCAUAACCGGGAGUAUGUGGGUAUCUCCUUCGGAGACGCUACGCGAACAACUCCCACCGCUGCGACCA